UACGUAGGGGGCGAGCGUUGUCCGGAUUUACUGGGCGUAAAGCGCGUGUAGGCGGGCGAUUAAGUCGGGUGUGAAAGCCCGGGGCUCAACCCCGGGAUGCCGCCCGAGACUGGUCUCCUUGAGGACGGAAGAGGGGAGUGGAAUUCCUGGUGUAGCGGUGAAAUGCGUAGAUAUCUGGAGGAACACCGGUGGCGAAGGCGGCAUCCUGGACCGGCAUUGACGCUGAGGCGCGAAAGCCAGGGGAGCAAACGGG
rnacentral:rRNA from 1 species